UUCCGUAGGUGAACCUGCGGAACGAUCAUU
rnacentral:rRNA from 1 species